rnacentral:tRNA from 1 species
UCCCCAGUAGCGCAUUUGGUUAGCGCACGGUACUUAUAAGCAGUACUUGUGAGUGAUGCCGGGGUUGUGAGUUCGAGCCUCACCUGGGGAA